GGACGAACGCUGGCGGCGUGCUUACCACAUGCAAGUCGAACGGAAAGGCCCUGCUUUUGUGGGGUGCUCGAGUGGCGAACGGGUGAGUAACACGUGCGUAACCUGCCCUUGACUUUGGGAUAACUUCAGGAAACUGGGGCUAAUACCGGAUAGGCGCUCCUGCUGCAUGGUGGGGGUUGGAAAGUUUCGGCGGUUGGGGAUGGACUCGCGGCUUAUCAGCUUGUUGGUGGGGUAGUGGCUUACCAAGGCUUUGACGGGUAGCCGGCCUGAGAGGGUGACCGGCCACAUUGGGACUGAGAUACGGCCCAGACUCCUACGGGAGGCAGCAGUGGGGAAUAUUGCACAAUGGGCGGAAGCCUGAUGCAGCAACGCCGCGUGCGGGAUGACGGCCUUCGGGUUGUAAACCGCUUUCGCCUGUGACGAAGCGUGAGUGACGGUAAUGGGUAAAGAAGCACCGGCUAACUACGUG
rnacentral:rRNA from 1 species